CAGUAACGGCGAGUGAAGCGGCAACAGCUCAAAUUUGAAAUCUGGCUCCUUCGGGGUCCGAAUUGUAAUUUGUAGAGAGUGCUUCGGGCGAGACCGCGGUCUAAGUCCAUUGGAACAUGGUGUCAUAGAGGGCGAGAAUCCCGUAUGCGACCGUGGCUCGAGCCCAUGUGAAGCCUCUUCGACGAGUCGAGUUGUUUGGGAAUGCAGCUCAAAAUGGGUGGUAAAUUUCAUCUAAAGCUAAAUACUGGCUGGAGACCGAUAGCGCACAAGUAGAGUGAUCGAAAGAUGAAAAGCACUUUGGAAAGAGAGUCAAACAGUACGUGAAAUUGUUGAAAGGGAAGCGCUUGCAACCAGACCUGCCCGUAGGCGAUCAGCCGCUGUUCUCAGCGGUGUACUCGCUCUGCGAUCAGGCCAGCAUCGGUUUCGGCGGUCGGAUAAAGACCUUGGGAAUGUAGCUUCCCUUCGGGGAAGUCUUAUAGCCCUCGGUGCAAUGCGGCCAGCCGGGACCGAGGACCGCGCUUCGGCUAGGAUGCUGGCGUAAUGGUUGUAAGCGACCCGUCUUGAAACACGGACCAAGGAGUCUAACAUCUAUGCGAGUGUUUGGGUGUCAAACCCAUACGCGGAAUGAAAGUGAACGGAGGUGAGAACCCUCAAGGGCGCAUCAUCGACCGAUCCAGAUGUCUUCGGAUGGAUUUGAGUAUGAGCAUAGCUGUUGGGACCCGAAAGAUGGUGAACUAUGCCUGAAUAGGGUGAAGCCAGAGGAAACUCUGGUGGAGGCUCGCAGCGGUUCUGACGUGCAAAUCGAUCGUCAAAUUUGGGUAUAGGGGCGAAAGACUAAUC
rnacentral:rRNA from 1 species